UAACUACUCCCUCCGUUCGGAAUUACUUGUCGCAAAAAUGGAUGUAUCUAGACGUCUUUUAGUUCUAGAUACAUCCAUUUCCGAGACAAGUAAUUCCGAACGGAGGGAGUAGUUU
rnacentral:pre_miRNA from 1 species